UCGGAUUGUAGCCUGCAACCGACUACAUGAAGCUGGAAUCGCUAGUAAUCGCAGGUCAGCAUACUGCGGUGAAUACGUUCCCGGGUCUUGUACACACCGCCCGUCACACCAUGAGAGUUGGCAACACCCGAAGUCGGUAGUCUAACCGCAAGGAGGACGCCGCCGAAGGUGGGGUUGAUGAUUAGGGUUAAGUCGUAACAAGGUAUC
rnacentral:rRNA from 1 species